rnacentral:rRNA from 1 species
GGGUGGCGGCGUGACCUAACACAUGCAAGUCGAACGGAGUUUUUUUGAGGUAAGUUUUUCGGAUUGAAUCAGAUGACUUUAGUGGCGGACGGGUGAGUAACGCGUGGGAAACCUCGCCCUGUACGUGGGGGAUAACACUUAGAAAUAGGUGCUAAAACCGCAUAAGCGCACGGGACCGCAUGGUCUUGUGUGAAAAAACUCCGGUGGUACAGGAUGGUCCCCGCGUCUGAUUAGCCAGUUGGCAGGGUAACGGCCUACCAAAGCGACGAUCAGUAGCCGGCCUGAGAGGGUGGACGGCCACAUUGGGACUGAGACACGGCCCAAACUCCUACGGGAGGCAGCAGUGGGGAAUAUUGCACAAUGGGGGAAACCCUGAUGCAGCGACGCCGCGUGAGUGAAGAAGUAUUUCGGUAUGUAAAGCUCUAUCAGCAGGGAAGAAAAAUGACGGUACCUGAGUAAGAAGCCCCGGCUAACUACGUGCC